rnacentral:rRNA from 1 species
GACGAACGCUGGCGGCGUGCUUAACACAUGCAAGUCGAACGGUGAACUCCGCUUGCGGGGGGAUCAGUGGCGAACGGGUGAGUAACACGUGGGCAACCUGCCCUCAGCUCUGGGAUAACUCCAAGAAAUUGGGGCUAAUACCGGAUAUGACCGCUGACCGCAUGGUCUGGUGGUGGAAAGAUUUAUCGGCUGGGGAUGGGCCCGCGGCCUAUCAGCUUGUUGGUGGGGUAGUGGCCUACCAAGGCGACGACGGGUAGCCGGCCUGAGAGGGUGACCGGCCACACUGGGACUGAGACACGGCCCAGACUCCUACGGGAGGCAGCAGUGGGGAAUAUUGCGCAAUGGGCGAAAGCCUGACGCAGCGACGCCGCGUGGGGGAUGACGGCCUUCGGGUUGUAAACCUCUUUCAGCAGGGACGAAGUGAAAGUGACGGUACCUGCAGAAGAAGCACCGGCCAACUACGUG